rnacentral:misc_RNA from 1 species
GAAAUGCGAUACGUAGUGUGAAUUGCAGAAUUCAGUGAAUCAUCGAAUCUUUGAACGCACAUUGCGCCCUUUGGUAUUCCAAAGGGCAUGCCUGUUCGAGCGUCAUUUGUACCCUCAAGCUUUGCUUGGUGUUGGGCGUUUUUUGUCUUUGGCUCGCCCAAAGACUCGCCUUAAAACGAUUGGCAGCCGGCCUACUGGUUUCGCAGCGCAGCACAUUUUUGCGCUUACAAUCAGCAAAAGAGGACGGCAAUCCAUCAAGACUCCUUCUCACGUUUGACCUCGGAUCAGGUAGGGAUACCCGCUGAACUUAAGC